GGCCUAUGGAGCAGAUAGGAAGGAACUCAGAGCUACACUACCCUGAGGGCUGUGUUUGCAUUUUUUGAUCACCUUUUCAUACGCACACGAGAUAAAGCUAUAAGUACAACAAAUAAUUGUGAUGGUAAAAUGAUUGGGCUUCAUCAAGCAUAGUGACUGAAAUGGUUUGUCUUAAAUGUAGGAAUUUCCUUCCUUGUCAAUGUUUCCUUUCUCUAACUGUAAACACUAUUCUCGUGUAUUUCCCGUUUUCCUCUAUUCUUCCAUCUUAGAUUGUAAUAAAUUCGGGUGUAGCACAACUACACAGUGUUUUUUCAACUUGAGUUGUUUUUACAUUCAAAUCACCAUUUUACGUCAUUACUUGAGUUGAGGGUUUUGCAAAACAGUCUCUCAACCUCCUUGAGGUAGGGAUGAGGUCGGGGUACACUCUAACUUUCUCUUGCUACACUUGUGAGAUUAUACUAGGUAUGUUGUUAUCACCAUUUUACCUCGUUUAUUCAUUAGAUCAUCUUAACAGUGUAAAUAGACGUUAACCUAUCUUGGUCCCCUCAGUAGUCACUACACCCUAGCAGGGUCCUAUCAACUUUUAUAAAUAAGAAAGCACAACCAGUUGUAUUAGUAAAGUCUCAAGUUAGAGUAAUCUUCUCUCCAAAAUUCUCUCUGAAGAGAACAGAAAUGAAACAGAUCCAACUAAGCAGCAUAUAGAAAACGGUAGUACCCGAGCUCAAGCAUGUAAAGCUUGAUGUAUAAGCAGAAUAUCAACAUUUUGUAUAAGCAGAAUAUCAACAUGAGUAGGCUAUAUGUCGAAAUCAUAUAUCUAAAGAUUAGCAUGUUUAUUAAUCACAAUAGAUAAACAAGAGUCAUCGAGCAAGUUGAACGAGCCUUCCCCCAUCACAGAACUAUCGAAAUACAAACUUUCAACAUAUAUUCAAAAGAAAUUAGUAAAUCAAAUGAAAUCCAGAAUGUAAAAAGACCAAUAAAAUCACAAACCCCAGAAUUGAGAAGCAUAAAACAAGAAUCAAUAGCUUGACAUUACACAUAUAACCAAGUAAUGGUAGUAUUUUUUGGACAGCCAGAGCUAGGUGUUUAAACAGUGGUACUUCCAGCACUAUGUUGUUGACAUUGGUAGGAAAAAUAAGGUCCCGCUGAGAAGGAAACUACAACCUAGGUACCUCAAAAUAAUCACACAGUUCUACUUAAUAUUAUUUAUAGCAAGGAUCUACAGAUUGCUUACUAAUGUCAUCAUAAAUUUGUGUUUUCUCCUGCCAUAAGGAUAUUUCUUUUCUCUAUAUAUGAAUUUUAGCUAGUGACCCCGUUCAAUGACUUAUAAUUCUAUUUGGUUAAGAGAUGUGUGAGAAGUGUAUGAAAUAUUUCCCCAUAUAUACACUGAUACUUUUCUUAUGGCAACAUUGAAAGAGGGAGAAGCUGCUGCAAAAGCUAAGGAAUCUAAGAAGAGCAAUCAUGUAUUUCUAUUUGUCCAUCAAUAGAAAUUUAUACUAUGUAUUUAUCUAUGUAUUAUUGAUUCUUAUAUCUAUGUAUUUAUUUUCUCAUAAUUUAUGUCACAGAGUUGGACCGAUAAGCUUGAACCCCAAGAAAAGAGAGCAACAUUUAGAUAACAAGGAAAAAAUAUAAAAGGCGGGCGGAAAGAGAUAACGAGUAGAACUGGACACAAUUCAGACACAAACAAUUAGCACACAAAGGUAUGACUUGAUGAGACUCUAAUUUUACAAUCAGAGCGCGAGUAAAUGGAUAAGUCAAGCAAGCAGAUUU
rnacentral:lncRNA from 1 species